GAGUUCCAGUUGAAACCUACCAUUUCAGUAUAGGGUUUCAAAUCAAAGCCCUAAGAGAGUUAGGUAACUGUAAGAGGUGGAUGACAAAGAGGUUAGGGUUUCAAACAAUUGAAUCACAGCAUAAAAGAGGUUAGGGUUUCAGUACUUCCCUCCUCGACUUCACACCAUCCGCUCCCAGCACCUGCCUCGCAAGAACCGCCAACCCGGCAUUCCUCAACUCCCUCACGCCGUAAGCCACCGCUGCGGGCACCCUCAAAUCGACGGCAUUCGCCACCGUCAGACCGUAGUCCCCUGUCAGCUUCUCCACGUCUUUGUGGAUGCCCAUGCCGACGAAGGUGUGGGCGGGGUUUGCGAGAAAGUCGAUUAGGGAGGAAGGGAUUGAGGGGGGGUAGAUGCGGCAGCGUUGGUCGACGCAGAGUUGGAGGGUGGCGGCGGGGUUGUCCUGGUGGGAGGCGAAGUUGGGGCGCCAGCCGACGAGGAGGGAAGGGGCGCGGAAGGUACAGGGGGUGUGGAGGGAUAGGGUUUCGGAAAUCCAGGAGUCGACCAAGGAAGGGGUGUGGGUCACCACUCACCAGCGUACCAGCGUUUUGUGAGAGAGAGAGA